CUACGGGAGGCAGCAGUGGGGAAUCUUAGACAAUGGGGGCAACCCUGAUCUAGCCAUGCCGCGUGAGUGAUGAAGGCCUUAGGGUCGUAAAGCUCUUUCGCCUGUGAUGAUAAUGACAGUAGCAGGUAAAGAAACCCCGGCUAACUCCGUGCCAGCAGCCGCGGUAAUACGGAGGGGGUUAGCGUUGUUCGGAAUUACUGGGCGUAAAGCGCGCGUAGGCGGACUAAUAAGUCAGAGGUGAAAUCCCAGGGCUCAACCCUGGAACUGCCUUUGAUACUGUUAGUCUUGAGUUCGAGAGAGGUGAGUGGAAUUCCAAGUGUAGAGGUGAAAUUCGUAGAUAUUCGGAGGAACACCAGUGGCGAAGGCGGCUCACUGGCUCGAUACUGACGCUGAGGUGCGAAAGUGUGGGGAGCAAACAGGAUUAGAUACCCUGGUAGUCCACACCGUAAACGAUGAAUGCCAGACGUCGGGCAGCAUGCUGUUCGGUGUCACACCUAACGGAUUAAGCAUUCCGCCUGGGGAGUACGGCCGCAAGGUUAAAACUCAAAU
rnacentral:rRNA from 1 species